rnacentral:rRNA from 1 species
GAUGAACGCUAGCGGCAGGCCUAACACAUGCAAGUCGAGGGGCAACACGGGUAGCAAUAUCUGGUGGCGACCGGCGCACGGGUGAGUAACGCGUAUGCAACCUACCCAUAACAAGGGGAUAGCUCCCGGAAACGGGGAUUAAUACCCUAUGGUACCCUGAUGUCGCAUGGCGACAGGGUUAAAACUGAGGUGGUUAUGGAUGGGCAUGCGUGCCAUUAGCUAGUUGGCGGGGUAACGGCCCACCAAGGCGAUGAUGGCUAGGGGGUCUAAAAGGAUGAUCCCCCACACUGGUACUGAGACACGGACCAGACUCCUACGGGAGGCUG